UACGUAGGUGGCAAGCGUUGUCCGGAUUUAUUGGGCGUAAAGAGCUUGUAGGCGGUUUGUCGCGUCUGCUGUGAAAUUUCGGGGCUCAACCCCGAACUUGCAGUGGGUACGGGCAGACUAGAGUGUGGUAGGGGAGACUGGAAUUCUUGGUGUAGCGGUGGAAUGCGCAGAUAUCAGGAGGAACACCGAUGGCGAAGGCAGCUCGCUGGGACGUUACUGACGCUGAGACGCGAAAGCGUGGGGAGCAAACAGG
rnacentral:rRNA from 1 species